rnacentral:rRNA from 1 species
GACGAACGCUGGCGGCGUGCCUAAUACAUGCAAGUUGAGCGCUGAAGGUUGGUUCUUGUACCAACUGGAUUAGCAGCGAACGGGUGAGUAACGCGUGGGGAAUCUGCCUUUGAGCGGGGGACAACAUUUGGAAACGAAUGCUAAUACCGCAUAAAAACUUUAAACACAAGUUUUAAGUUUGAAAGAUGCAAUUUCUUCACUCAAAGAUGAUCCCGCGUUUUAUUAGCUAGUUGGUUAGGUAAAGGCUCACCAAGGCGAUGAUACAUAGCCGACCUGAGAGGGUGAUCGGCAACAUUGGGACGGAGACACGGCCCAAACUCCUACGGGAGGCAGCAGUAGGGAAUAUUCGGCAAUGGACGAAAGUAUGACAGAGCAACGCCGCGUGAGUGAAGAAGGUUUUCGGAUCGUAAAACUCUGUUGGUAGAGAAGAACGUAGGUGAGAGUGGAAAGCUCAUCAAGUGACGGAAACGACCCAGAAAGGGACGGCUAACUACGU